GAUGAACGCUGACAGAAUGCUUAACACAUGCAAGUCUUUGGCGAAGCUGUGCUUGCACAGCCUAGCCAAGGCGGACGGGUGAGUAACGCGUAAGGAACUUGCCCUGCAGUCAGGGAUAACAGACGCAAACGACUGAUAAGACCUGGUAAAGUCAGGCGGACUCAUGUCCAGCCUGAUGAAAAGAGAUGCUGCAGGAGAGCCUUGCGUCCUAUUAGCUUGUUGGUGGGGUAACGGCCCACCAAGGCGAUGAUAGGUAGCCGGCCUGAGAGGGUGGACGGCCACAAGGGGACGGAGAGACGGCCCUGACUCCUACGGGAGGCAGCAGUGAGGAAGAUGGGACAAUGGGGGCAACCCUGAUCCAGCAAUUCUGUGUGCACGAUGAAGGUUUUCGGAUUGUAAAGUGCUUUCAGCAGGGAAGAAAAAAUGACGGUACCUGCAGAAGAAGCGACGGCUAAAUACGUG
rnacentral:rRNA from 1 species